rnacentral:rRNA from 1 species
UUAAUUUAGGUGUGAAAUGUUUAUCGUUUUUAUUGAUAUCUAGUAACUUUAGAAAUAAAUUUAGUUUAGAUUUUUAAGGAGUUAUUGCUCUUUUUAAGAUUUUAGAUUUUAAGGGAUAAGCUUUAAAAUUAAUUUAAAAGGAAAGUGGUUUUUGAGUUUUUUUGUAGGCUUGGAAUUAGCCAUUGGAUAGUGUUAUAAAAUAAAGUAAUUGGUGUAGGAUUUAAUUUUCUUUUUUAAUUAUAAAGUUAAUUAAUAAACUAUUUUAAUAGUGUAAAUAUGAUAAUAUAAGUAGAAGAAAAGAUGAAAUUUUUUUUGUAUUAAGUGAUUUAAAGUUUAUAAUAAAAGAACUCGGCAAAUAAGAUUUCCGAAUGUUUAACAAAAACAUUUCCUCUUAAUUAUGGGAGGUAAGACCUGCUCACUGAAAAUUUAAAGAGCCGCAGUAUUUUAACUGUGCUAAGGUAGCAUAAUCAUUAGUCUUUUAAUUGGAGACUGGUAUGAAUGGUUAAACGAGAAAUCAGCUUUUUUUGUUAUAAGAUUCGAAUUUAAUUUUUUAGUGAAAAAGCUAGAAUUUUUCAGAAAGACGAGAAGACCCUAUAGAGUUUUAUAAUUUUUUUAAUUUUUUUUUAAUUAGAUUUUUUAGAUAGAAAUUUAAGGAAUUAUUUUGUUGGGGCGACAUUUAGAUAAAAAAAACUCUUAAUUUUUUGAACUUUAAUAAAAGAAUAGAUUGAUCCUUUGAAAAAAGAUUAAAAGAUAAAAUUACCUUAGGSAUAACAGCGUAAUCUUUUUUGAGAGUUCUUAUCGACAAAAAGGUUUGCGACCU